ACUCCUACGGGAGGCAGCAGUGGGGAAUAUUGCACAAUGGGCGCAAGCCUGAUGCAGCGACGCCGCGUGGGGGAUGACGGCCUUCGGGUUGUAAACUCCUUUCGCUAGGGACGAAGCUUUUUGUGACGGUACCUAGAUAAGAAGCACCGGCUAACUACGUGCCAGCAGCCGCGUAAUACGUAGGGUGCGAGCGUUGUCCGGAAUUACUGGGCGUAAAGGGCUCGUAGGUGGUUUGUCGCGUCGUCUGUGAAAUUCCGGGGCUUAACUCCGGGCGUGCAGGCGAUACGGGCAUAACUUGAGUACUGUAGGGGUAACUGGAAUUCCUGGUGUAGCGGUGAAAUGCGCAGAUAUCAGGAGGAACACCGAUGGCGAAGGCAGGUUACUGGGCAGUUACUGACGCUGAGGAGCGAAAGCAUGGGUAGCGAACAGGAUUAGAUACCCUGGUAGGCGUAGU
rnacentral:rRNA from 1 species